rnacentral:rRNA from 1 species
UACACUCCUGCGGGAGGCAGCAGUGGGGAAUAUUGGACAAUGGGCGCAAGCCUGAUCCAGCCAUGCCGCGUGAGUGAUGAAGGCCCUAGGGUUGUAAAGCUCUUUCACCGGAGAAGAUAAUGACGGUAUCCGGAGAAGAAGCCCCGGCUAACUUCGUGCCAGCAGCCGCGGUAAUACGAAGGGGGCUAGCGUUGUUCGGAAUUACUGGGCGUAAAGCGCACGUAGGCGGAUCGAUCAGUCAGGGGUGAAAUCCCAGGGCUCAACCCUGGAACUGCCUUUGAUACUGUCGAUCUGGAGUAUGGAAGAGGUGAGUGGAAUUCCGAGUGUAGAGGUGAAAUUCGUAGAUAUUCGGAGGAACACCAGUGGCGAAGGCGGCUCACUGGUCCAUUACUGACGCUGAGGUGCGAAAGCGUGGGGAGCAAACAGGAUUAGAAACCCCUGUAGUCCC